UGCGUAGGCGGAUUUGCAAGUCAGGCGUGAAAUACCGAGGCUUAACCUCGGGGCUGCGCUUGAAACUGUUAAUCUUGAGUGAAGUAGAGGUAGGCGGAAUUCCUAGUGUAGCGGUGAAAUGCGUAGAUAUUAGGAGGAACACCAGUGGCGAAGGCGGCCUACUGGGCUUUAACUGACGCUGAGGCACGAAAGCAUGGGGAGCAAACAGGAUUAGAUACCCUGGUAGUCCAUGCCGUAAACGAUGAUAACUAGGUGUGGGGGGACUGACCCCUUCCGUGCCGGAGUAAACACAAUAAGUUAUCCACCUGGGGAGUACGAUCGCAAGAUUGAA
rnacentral:rRNA from 1 species